ACGUAUAUAUGUCUAUGAUGAUGAUAACGACGAUUACGAAGAAGAAGAAGAAAAUGGUACAGAAUAUGGGUUUACAGGAGUCAGCCCUGUAACACACACUUCAGCCUCUUGAUAGGCGAAACAGCAGUGUGGUACUGUGCCAAAAGCAGCAUGAACCUUCAACAGCCUGCACCUUUUAUCCCCCCAGUUCAUCCUGAUGUACAGAUGAAACCCCUGCCAUUCUAUGAUGUGCUGGAUGUUCUUGUCAAGCCUUCAAGUCUAGGAGCAAGUCCUUCACAGAGGUACCAUCAAGAAAAGUAUUUCAUUUUUGCUUUAACACCACAGCAAGUUCGAGAAGUUUGCAUAUCCAGAGACUUCCUGCCAGGUGGCAGAAGGGACUACAUGGUUCAAAUUCAACUAAGGUUCUGCUUGGCAGAGACAAGUUGUCCUCAAGAUGAUAAUUUCCCUAACAGUCUUUGUGUUAAGGUCAAUGGCAAGCUUUUCCCUUUGCCCGGACUUGCACCACCACCAAAAAAUGGAAUUGAACAGAAGAAAUCAGGAAGACCCCUAAACAUUACCUCCCUUGUCAGACUCUCAUCCGCUGUGCCUAACCAGAUUGCAGUGACAUGGGCCCCAGAAAUUGGAAAGACCUAUUCUCUUUCUGUGUACCUCGUGAGGCAACUUACUUCACCAUUGCUUCUGCAGAGACUGAGGAUGAAGGGAAUAAGAAGCCCAGACCACUCCAGAGCACUAAUGUGUUGACAUACCAACCAGCUAUGCGUAUGCCGCAUGUUCCAGGCCUGGAGCAGUCAUACCUUAACUCAGCGCUUACUGAGUAUGCAGUUCCUUUCCACCCAUCUGCCUUGGCUUCCAUUCCUGAAGAAAUGCAAAGUCUGGAUUUCUUUUCAUUGAUUUCAACAGAACCUCAACAUUACAGGCCUCGAAUGUAUUUGGAAAACCUGUCAGGCAACAUGCAAAACACUGUUGCACCCAGCACUAGCUCUGCUUUGGUCUCUUCCACCUCCAGCAGCAACUAUAAUACCAAUGGCCAUACUGCUGCUUCCAUCGAUGAAACAAGAGUUGCCACAGGAGGAGGAGUAGGUUGCACUGGAGAAGUGACUGGGGGUACCCUAUCAGAUAUUAUUUCACUGGACUAAGCCACAUUCCUUUUGAUGUCUAUUUCAAAGGCUUUCUGCAGUAGUCUAAAUUUAGAUGCCAUGGUAAAUAGUGUUCAGAUUGCUAAACAUUAAUAUUGGCAUGUUUUUGUGCUAUUUCUUUUUGGCUUGAAAAAAAGCUAAAACUUUUUACAUUUUUAUAAAGCCAAAACAUGUUUUUAUAAGUCAUUUGAAAUGCUUUAACUACUUGUACUAUUUAAGGAAAAUGCACAUUUUCCCUUCUGAGCAAUACUUGGUAGGAAGGCAUCUGUGUAGGGAAGAUACUUUUAUAAGGUAAGGUAAGUUUAUUUGUAUGGCACUUUUCAUUAACAAGACGAUUCAAAGUGCUGUACUGACAAAAUCCCAUUGGUACUAUACCGAGUACCGAUUCAAGCAUACCUGUUUCUGUACCACAGCACAUCAUUGUGACACUAAGGGAGUCAAAGAGUGGGAGAUUUUCCAUGCCGGACAUGAAGACAGCAUUGCAUGCACAAGAGUGAAUGACGUCAGUAGCUACUAGUCCAAUUAACGAAGCAAGCAUGAUAGAAAGUGUUUGAAAGUAUUUCAAGAUGUGAUGCAGUAUUUGUGACGCAAAGUGCAACCGCAGCAGCAAGAAUACUUCUAAUCAAAGGAAGCACCUGGUCACUACUGCCAAUUAACAACUUUGUCGCUAUAUUUAGAAACCUUUUAGACCAAUCCAGCAACAAGUGAAAAAUCUUGCAACUUUCUUCUGUUAUUGGUGACAUCCCGUGAAAACACCAAUGCCAAGACAGCAGUGAGUGCUGCUGUAAGCCUCUUCACUCUUCUCUGAACACUUUCUCAAAGGCAGCUGCAGCCUUCUCAUUCUGAAACCCCUGCCUGUAGUCAGAGCAAAGAGAGCAGAGAGAAGAGCCUCUCCAUUUCCACAUUGCAAAUGUGUCCCACCCUAGUUUACAAAGCGGGAUGAUAUAUGUUUUUUAUAUAGUCUCUUUUUUUCUCUGAAACUGUUGCACUGAAAUAAUUCCCUGAAUUUGAUUCACACACAGCUUCAAUCCCUUAUUCACCUCAUUCACUCUGUGUGCCUUCGAUAAGUGUCGUUUUGGUAAAAAUUUGUUUUAUGUGGUGUGGAUUCAGGCAAUGUAUUUGUAGAUCCAAACAAGUUUAUAAUGCUCAA